GAACUGAAGAUUUUUGGAGUAAAAGUCCAAUGCUCCAAGAUGGAUCAUAUGUAUUCAGAAGGUACAUGUAAGGAAACAUCCAUGGAAGAGACAUUUUUUUGUAAUGGAAGGGAAGCAGAAAUUGAUGAGCCAUUUGCUCAAGAAGUGGCCAGUGGAAAAGUGGCUCCCUAAGUAUGUAAAAAUGUAAAUAUAUUACUGGCAGCUGGGAAGUCCAAUAUCAAGAUGCCCGCAGGUUUAAUGCCUGUCUGGUGAGGGCCUGUGUCUGCUCCCAAGAUGACAUCUUGAAUGCCACCCUGCUCCUGCUCCUCACAAGACAGAAGAGCAGAAGAACCAAGAGACAAAAAGGGACUGAACUAGCCCUUCUAGAAUGCAGUAAUCCCACCCAUGAAGCAUUUCUAACAAGAUGUCCUGAUGCUGCUGGUCCAACACCAUUCUUUGAGAACCACUGUAAUGAAGUGUAUAAGAGUUUCACAGAAUCUCUGAAACAAUAUGUAAAAUACUGUAUAAACUGCAUAUACAUUGUUAUGGGGACACCAUCCAAUGUUUCACCAUAUUUCCAAAGAGGUCAGUAAAUCCCAAAUGGUUUAGUCACUCAUUAGUUUAGUGUUGUGAUAUUAGAACCAAAUAAAUACCAAUAUUUGCACUUCA
rnacentral:lncRNA from 13 species